rnacentral:rRNA from 1 species
UACGGAGGUCCCAAGCGUUGUUCGGAUUUACUGGGCGUAAAGGGUGCGCAGGCGGUGGGCAAAGUUCGAUGUGAAAGCUCCGAGCUCAACUCGGAAACUGCAUUGAAAACUAAUCCACUAGAGGAUCGGAGAGGGGAGUGGAAUUCUUGGUGUAGCAGUGAAAUGCGUAGAUAUCAAGAGGAACACCAGUGGCGAAGGCGACUCCCUGGACGUAUCCUGACGCUGAGGCACGAAGGCUAGGGUAGCAAACAGG